UACAGAGGUCUCGAGCGUUAGGCGGAAUCACUGGGCUUAAAGCGUGCGUAGGCGGUUUUGUAAGUUUGGUGUGAAAUCUCCCGGCUCAACUGGGAGGGUGCGCCGAAAACUGCAAGGCUGGAGUGUGGGAGAGGGAUGCAGAAUUCCAGGUGUAGCGGUGAAAUGCGUAGAUAUCUGGAGGAAUACCGGUGGCGAAGGCGGCAUCCUGGACCGGCAUUGACGCUGAGGAGCGAAAGCCAGGGGAGCAAACGGG
rnacentral:rRNA from 1 species